AGGAAUGCAGAACCCGUUACUGAGCAGAUUUUAAAAUGUUUUCCCUAGCUAGCAAAAGAAACUUGACUUGAUGAACCAGACAAUAUAUAUAUAUAUUUUUUUUUCCAUUUGCACAGGCUAGCCUCAAGCUCACAGUCCUCCCGUCUCAGCAUGCUUGGUGCUGAAGUGAGUAGCUUACGCCAUCAGGUUCAGCCCUGUUCUGCUUCGGCAAUCCUUUCCACCUCUUUCCUAAUCUCCUGCCGUUUUCCUUUACUCUCACUUGCACACUGAUGCUUGGUGGCUCUCACUACAGGGAGAGAUCUUCAAGGCCGAGUUCAGGAUCGAAUCAUCUUUACAGUCCCCAGAGAAGUCGUGGCGCAAUGCACUGUCUACAGUGAAAAACAAUCAAAUUGUACAACCCGAGAAGAAGAGCUGAUGGUGGCCGGGUUCCUAGAGAGAUGCGUUCAGAUGCAGUUUGUCAUGGACUCAGAAGUGCCACUAAAGGUGAGGGAAGAGUAUGACAGCCUUGUGACAGUCCCACUGAAUAAACGCUUUUAAAUCUAGUAACAGGGGAUUGGUGUAACUGUGCACUUGUCAUGGAAGACUGCCAAGAUGUCCAUCUGUCAGUGCCUUCUUGUUCUAAUGUGUGUAUGUGGGUGUGGCUAUGUGUAUGUGGGUGUGUGGGCAUACAGAUGUGUACAGAGCUCAGAGGACAAUUCAAGGGUCAUCCUGAGAGCACCACCCAGCUCCUUUAAGAACUCUUCUCUCUUUGUCUUGGAGCUCACAUUAGGCUAGGCUGGAAGGCUCCUCCAGGGAUACUCUUGUCUCUCCCUCCUUGGUGAUCACAGGAACACAGCACAGUGCUCUGCAUGGUAUAUGGGUGCUGGGGAUCGAACUUGGGUCCCUGUGGUUGCGAGGCCAGCACUUUACUGACUGAACCACCAUCCCCUAGCCCAUGUUGCCAGUGCCUUUUUAAUAUGUUUAUACAGCUCUCUCUCUCUCUCUCUCUCUCUCUCUCUCUCUCUCUCUCUCUCUCUCUCUAGUGGUAGGUGAUUAAUUUGGAGAGAUGAUAAAAUCUAGACAGAGAUUUCUCAGUCACAUUGAUGACAGUAAAGGCAUUAAGAAUACAAUUAUGGGCACCAGCUCUAUAACUCAGCCUAUUGCUAUGAAAAUAUGUCUGACUGCCAGUGACCAGCAAUUAUCUUCCUCCAUUUAAUCUAAAGCCACAUGGUAUUUUAAAAAUGAAACUCCUUUCAAAACUGCCUCUGCCUAUAAAUGUCAACGGGUGGGGCAGCUUUUCCUUCUGCACCACACAGUUCGACUUAUGCUGCGGUUCACGUUCACGUGCAUUCAAUGUUAAAGGACAAGGAAAUGCUCAUCCAAGGCACCUUGUCAACCCUGGCCAGCCCUGCGGUGACCUUCGGCUCAGAACCCGGGUUUGAGCCUUCAAGGGCAGCAAGAGCCUCAGUCAGCAGCUUUCCAGGUCCCAAGCUUGUCUAAGGAGAGGCAGAUUGAAAGCUCUCAGAAACCUGCCUUCUCAGAAACCUACCAUCCUCGGGAAGGGCUAAGCCAAGGAAAACAACACACCUGAACAAAAAAGCUCAUCUGUCACUUAACACUCGGUCCUUGUUUAAUUUUUACUCAGCCUAAGGCAGGUCUUGCUGGCCUGCUAUAGAUCUGUCUGGCCCUGAAGAAUGUCUCUGAAGUGCUGGGGUCACACGCUUGCACCACCCAACCUGGCUGGAUUCAGACUUUAAAAUAGGGGUGCACCGUAGGGGCAGUGGGGCUCCCGAUCUGGUUGUAAAAUGCUACAUGUUAAACAUCAAGAGAGCAAAUGAACGGGUUACAAAUGGUUUCUAGGACUGAAG
rnacentral:lncRNA from 1 species